CUUCUUCCUGCUCUCUUGGCCAUGAAUCGAGGCCUGCACCCAGGGAGACUCCCCCUGAAGCCGAUUCGGGUUUCCCUCCACCAGGCGUCUUUGGAUCACACUGUGUGGCUGCUGGCUCCAUCACAAAACAUGAAGAUCCCAGGGUUGGUGGUGUGAUGAAAAGAAGUAAGAAAUUGAAGAACUAGGCCGGGCGCAGUGGCUCACGCCUGCAAUCCCAGUACUUUGGGAGGCCGAGAUACAUCUGCUCGGAGCUUCAGACUGGAAGCAAGCUAAAAACCAUGCUACUCUAAACUGCGGUCUUUGGAUCAGCAGCUUGAACAUGAUUUCGAAGUUUCUUUGAAAUGUGAACUCUCAUACCUACUGAAUCAGAUGUUUCACUGUGACAAGAUCCCCAGGUGAUUCAUGUGCAGGUUAAAGUUUGAGAAGCACCGAAGUAAAACAUAAAACCAACCAUGUACUCCUUUUUUUUUUUUUGAGAUGGGGUCUUGCUUUGUCACCCAGGCUGGAGUACAGUGGCACAAUCUCAGCUGACUGCAACCUCUGCCUCCUGGGUUCAAGCAAUUCUCCUGCCUCAGCCUCCCGAGUAACUAGGAUUACAGGCGCCUGCCACCACACCCAGCUAAUUUUUGUAUUUUUAGUAGAGACAGGGUUUCACCAUGUUGGUCAGACUGGUCUUGAACUCCUGAUCUCAGGUGAUCCACCCGCCUCAGCCUCCCAAAGUUUUGGGUUACAGGUGUGAGCCAUCGCGCCUGGCAUACUCCCUUGUUUAAAAUGCAUCAAAGACCUCCUCUACCGCCCUCCUCCCCCCCGCCCCACAACCCUACCCUGCAUUGCUUACAUGCUAGAGCCCAAGCUUUUGAAGGGGAGGCACAGCCCAGAGUUUGUAUCUUAGGGAUUCCGCGUACAUCCUAUAAUUACUGCAGGGGGUACCUCCUCCAGGAUACCCUGUCUGAGUCUUCAUGCUCCUCUCUUCAUAUACCCCAGGCUGGGGUCCCUUGUCUCAGCUCCCUUUGCCAUGCUUACAAAUGUUAUGUAUGGAUCUUACUCCCCCAUUAGCCUGGAGAGUCCUUGAGUAUCUCACUCAUCUCCCAGGGCAUGGCUCAGCAUCUAGUAGGCACUCAAUAAAUGGUUACUGCAGACUGAUUCUUCCCCUAGGCUCUACGCACCCCUCCACCUGCCCUCUCUCCUUGGGAGCCUGGGAUUGUUUUUCUUCCCUUAGAUUAAUGAGGCCCUUGGGGUUGCUCCUGGCAGCAAAACACAGCAGGAGACCCAGCGCUGGGAAAAGUGCAGCGAGUUCUGGGCCUGGCUGGAGAGACUGGCUCUGCAUUUCCCAUCUUCCACCUUCCCACGAUGGACACAGGCUUCAGACCUCUCCCACUGUUGUGCAGUUGGCUCCACAGCCAUCCCAGGGAGGGAGACAAUAGGGUCUCCCCUACCUGUUGUGCCUUCCCUCCCAAAGCCACAGGCGUAACUGCUAGAUAUCAGCUGGGGAGAUCCUAGGCAGAGGGCAGAGGUGAAAAGCCCAGGGGUUUCUCAUCAGAAGGCAGGACCUGCCACGCUGGGAUGGCAAUGUCUAUAGAGCACAUUCUCCUGGGCCAAAGAGAUGUAGGUUGUUCCUCAGUAGGUUCUAGCCAUUGAGAGCCAAAGAACUCGCUUCCCAGCUCCAUCCCUGUUUUUCAGCUGUGCUUGCUGCCACUGCAAGGAGGAAUCAGCCCCUGGCAGUUCCCUGAAUUGAAGUCUCAGUGCAAUGUUUUUUCCUCAUUGGGAGCUAGGGAGUGGCCAGGCCUCUGGGCUGGGGUCCUGCUGGGGGCAACCCAGGCUGAGAGGAGUCUGGAAAGGUAGAGCUAGGUCAGGAAACGUAAUGAGGCCUUGCAUUGGCCUUCUUGGCCUUCAGGUUCCUGGGGAGAAGCAGCUGAUGGAGUGCAGGCCUACAGACAUGCUUCCAACAUCUCAGGCAGGCCUGGUUGAGUACCUCUUCUCAGACCAGGAGAGGGGUCGGAACCAACUGCUCUGAAGCCUUUCUACAAAGGACUUCCUCUCUUCCAUGGGUCAGAGGCCAGGUGUAUUUAUCAGACUAAAUGCGAUAGUAGCUGGGGGAAUAGUAACAGCAUUGAGGUAAUGCCUGCUAUUAGGCACCGUUCUAAGCACUUUAUAUAUAUUAGCUCUAACAACUCUCCCAACAGUCCUAUGAGGGAGAUACUAUUAAUUUUAUUCUCACUUAACAGAUGUAGAAACUGAGGCACAGAGACGUAAAGUCAAUUGCCCAAGGUAGUAAGUGGCAGAGCCAGGAUCUGAUCCCAAGCCAAGUGGCUCCGCAGCCCCGCUGGUCAGCGCUGCCUCUCAGAGGGGAAUGCCUGAAUCUGCAAUUGUCACCCGCCCACUCACCUGCUCAGUUACUCCCCUGCCCCACUCUGAGGCCAAAGCUGCUGCAGACAGAUGGGAGGAGAGGAGCCUGGGAGGUCCAUUCCACUUAGGAGUGGGGGAGCAGCGCUUGAGGCGGCCAGGGGCCUGGCAAGAGCCAUGCAAAACCCUGAUGCCCUGGGAAGGAUGGAGGACCCUCCCCCCCGCCCCGCCAAUGCUUUGAUUCUGAAGAAAAAGGGCAAAUGAAUGGACAGACCUGGUAGAGGAAAUCUGUGGUUCGGGAGGAGCAGGAAGUCACAACCCUAAACUGGCCAGUCCUCCAGGUCCCCCCCGGUUUUCAGUGAACACUCUGGAGGGUUCCUGUGUUCCCCUAAGUCCCCACUCCCAGACAGCCUAGCUCCUCACCACCCUCAAGUUGGGGAAGCCGAGCAAUGAGAGUAGGACCCCUCAGAGUCACUGAACCAUGAGAACGUUCCCAGUGAAGAGCCUUGAGUUGGCAGGAUGACCUCUCCCCGUCACGGCAAGGGAGGGAGACCUGAACGCUGAGGGUCUGCGCUUUAUGUCCUGCCACUCCCGCUCAGGAUCUGGGAAGUGGAAGGAAAGGGCCAGGGGACGCUGGUGGGGGAGGGGAUGCCUCACCAAGUCC